GAUCAUAACAAGAGGUAUCCUAUGGCGGCAAAGUCAAAAGUUCCACGGUCUCUUUAGAAAUUAGUACGUUUCUUUAGCUAGACGCUUACCUGGGACCCAGAUGUUCACGUGGAAGUGUUUUUAGUGUGUUUUCUUAGAGUUAUGGUACUUAUCGAGUAUAGGAGUGCAUCAGGCAACACCUUGGCCCUGUUUUUUUGAGCUCCAUUAAAGUUCAACAAAUCUCCACCAUUAUGUUCUGGUAUUGAAAGGAAAGAGAACCUGCAGUCUACGUGAUGUCAAGCAAUAACCGAGGAGGUGGUGGUCGAGGAGGAGGUUGGAGAGGCAGAGGAGGUGGUGGAGGAGGAGGAGGAGGAGGAUGGAGAGGC